UAGGGAAUCUUCGGCAAUGGACGGAAGUCUGACCGAGCAACGCCGCGUGAGUGAAGAAGGUUUUCGGAUCGUAAAGCUCUGUUGUUAGAGAAGAACGUUGGUAGGAGUGGAAAAUCUACCAAGUGACGGUAACUAACCAGAAAGGGACGGCUAACUACGUGCCAGCAGCCGCGGUAAUACGUAGGUCACGAGCGUUGUCCGGAUUUAUUGGGCGUAAAGCGAGCGCAGGCGGUUCUUUAAGUCUGAAGUUAAAGGCAGUGGCUUAACCAUUGUACGCUUUGGAAACUGGAAGACUUGAGUGCAGAAGGGGAGAGUGGAAUUCCAUGUGUAUCGUUGAAAUGCGUAGAUAUAUGGAGGAACACCGGUGGCGAAAGCGGCUCUCUGAUCUGUACCUGACGCUGAGGCUCGAAAGCGUGGGGAGCAAACAGG
rnacentral:rRNA from 1 species